ensembl:lncRNA
AUGCCUGCUAUAAAGGGCUGAGGAGGAACUUCUUCACUUCAAUCAAAUCUGGAAACAAAAAAGAGCCUCCAACCAUCCUUCUUCUGACCUCAGUGGGUAUCCUGCCUUUGCAAGGUACCAUCAUGUCUUAAAUUGAGUAAGGCACUGAGAGAUCUACAUGGCUUGGCAGCUGUUCCUUCUGUCUCCCCAACUCAACCCACCUUACUGAGUUGCUCCUGUUUCUACUUCUGUCAGUGAAUGAGGGAUCAGUACUUUGCCCCCAUAGUUUCUUCAGGAGUACCUUGUCCUAAAACAAAACCAAAUCUGGAAGGAGUAGAAUUUUCUGCUGGGACUUGGUAACAUUUCAUGGACAAGGAGGAUGUGACUCAUGCUGCUCAUGACUGCUGGAACCUAUAACCUCCUUUUCUCUUGGACUGAUACAAUGAUCUUCACUUUGAAAGAAGAAACAGAGACAUUUUUAACAGCAGAGAGACUUCACAAGUACUGGGAUGUUGAAAACCCAUCUCUGGCCCACCAGUGAAAAUAAUGACUCCUGCUAUUUUGGGUUCUGUGGAGCUAAGAUGAAGUAUCAAAAAAAGAUUCCGAUGUUUUCUGAUACCAUCGUGCUCCUUGGCAUAGGAGGGAUGAAUGGAACAGAAGCUCAUAUGUGGAAGAUGACUGAUUUUUGUAGCAUUGCAGGCAGGAGCUGCCAGCAGGGAAGCUAAUACAUGAGGGGCUGAGGAGUGAGUGCUUGAGGAGGAAACCAUCUAGAUCUCUUAGACAGCUCAUUCCUCACUGCGCCCCCACAGAACUUGACCACACCACUCAAGGAUGGACUCUAUAACGUUUCCGUAAGCAAGAAUGCCUGCCAUGUGACUACAGAAGAAUCCAAGCAGCUGAGUUAAAAUUUUCAUUAUUUUUAAACAGUUGCAUAAGCCAUAAGUACUUUUCUUCUGGACUCUGGACCUGAUGGUUUGCAGUCACAGUGUUGGAUGGACAGUUACUUGCUGCAGGAUCUUCCAGAGGCUCCACUGAUAUUAUCACAUCUGAAAGCACAGCACCUUAUCCUUAACAUUCUCCAAUUCUGCCCAAUUUCAAAAUGAAUAGUUGGAGAGUUUCUGAGCUUCUCCUUUCUUUUUGCUCAAGAAACGUUAUAGGAAAUGAAAUAUAAAAUCAUAUCAGCAUCUAAUCAAAUUCCCAGCCCCUUUUCAUUUUCAAAGCAUUCCCUACACUUAGCUGCGCAGUCUUGCUGAGAUAAAAUGUGGGCUGUGCAACUCCAUCUCUCUGUGGGACAUUAUUCUAUUGCUUUGAUGAUAGCCUUCAGAGCUUCUAUCGCUACCCCAUGACUUAAAAUACAUUUGCUGCAGGGUCAGGCUCCCAUCUGCUUUGCUCUUGGCAGCUGAAGUCAGCUUACUACAGAAACAAAGGUGGGGGGACGAAACAGGAAAGGAAAGCAUAAUGGUUAAAUGUUUUGUCCUUUCUGUUAGAUGUGAGGUCAUUUGCUGAAUAGGCAGCAAAACUGUCCCUGUUCUCUGCAUGGAUGCCAACAUGGGCCAACUGGGGAAGAACAGAUAGUUCACAGAGAAGUCACUUCUUCUUCUUCUGAAAAGCAAAAUGUUUACACUGCAGGAGAAAUAGAUUUGCCAGAAGUUGGAGCCAUUCAAUGAAGAAAUUAAUUUAAACUAAGACUGCAUUUUCCAGUUUUGAUAAAGACUUUUCAACCUGCUAUUGCUUCAGCUACUUCUUGAAAACAAAACUAAACUAACACUGAUUACUGCAGUGAUGUUUUAAAGAUCUAGAAAUGAGAACUUAUCUCCCUUUUAUAUAGGAGAUGCAUUUCAUUUUUACAUAUCAGUUAAAUGUACCCUAUAUUCCUACAUUUUAUUCAAAAUCAUGUCAACUUGUGACCCAAGCACUGAUAGCUUAGCACAUGUAAAUUCCCUGGAAUUAUGGAUGUAUUUUUGUUUAUGCUGCUCGUUUCUUACUCCUAGCUGGAGAAAGUCACCUAGAACUUAGCAUUACCUUUGAGUUUCUUGGCUCCCACUAAAAG